rnacentral:rRNA from 2 species
CUAUCAUGCAAGUCGAACGCGUCUCCGUUAAUGAUUUUAGGUGCUUGCACUUGAAAGAUUUAACAUUGAGACGAGUGGCGAACUGGUGAGUAACACGUGGGUAACCUGCCCUUGAAGUAGGGGAUAACACUUGGAAACAGGUGCUAAUACCGUAUAACAACCAAAACCACCUGGUUUUGGUUUAAAAGACGGCUUCGGCUGUCACUUUAGGAUGGACCCGCGGCGUAUUAGCUUGUUGGUAAGGUAACGGCCUACCAAGGCGAUGAUACGUAGCCGACCUGAGAGGGUAAUCGGCCACAUUGGGACUGAGACACGGCCCAAACUCCUACGGGAGGCAGCAGUANGGNNUC